rnacentral:rRNA from 1 species
GACGAACGCUGGCGGCGUGCUUAACACAUGCAAGUCGAACGGAAAGGCCCUGCUUUUGUGGGGUGCUUGAGUGGCGAACGGGUGAGUAACACGUGAGUAACCUGCCCUUGACUUUGGGAUAACUUCAGGAAACUGGGGCUAAUACCGGAUAGGAGCUCCUGCUGCAUGGUGGGGGUUGGAAAGUUUCGGCGGUUGGGGAUGGACUCGCGGCUUAUCAGCUUGUUGGUGGGGUAGUGGCUUACCAAGGCUUUGACGGGUAGCCGGCCUGAGAGGGUGACCAGCCACAUUGGGACUGAGAUACGGCCCAGACUCCUACGGGAGGCAGCAGUGGGGAAUAUUGCACAAUGGGCGGAAGCCUGAUGCAGCAACGCCGCGUGCGGGAUGACGGCCUUCGGGUUGUAAACCGCUUUCGCCUGUGACGAAGCGUGAGUGACGGUAAUGGGUAAAGAAGCACCGGCUAACUACGUG